rnacentral:antisense_RNA from 1 species
CUUCACCCCUGGCUCUGGCAGUGCUGCUCCUCUCUCCUGCAUGGAUCACCUGCUCCUGGAAUUCAUUUCUCCCAUUUCUUAGGUUGCCGCUUUACUGUAGCUUCCUGAUCAAAGGAAAAGUCCACAGGAGCCUGGCACUCCUGGACCUGAGGAAACCCUGAAAGUGUUGGUAUCUGCAGAUCCUCUCCAAAAAGGUUCGCCAGUCUCCUAAGACUGCAAGCCUGACCCCAGCAUUCUGGGGGCCAAGAGGGAGAAAGAGUCUGUGGAUCUCCCCGCUCAGUAAAUUGGCUUUCACUAAAUA